rnacentral:rRNA from 1 species
GAGGAAUAUUGGGCAAUGCCCGCAAGGGUGACCCAGCAACGCCGCGUGGAGGAUGAAUGUCGUAAGAUUGUAAACUCCUGUUAGAGGGGAAGAAUAGUACCGGUUGGACCGGUAUAUGACUGUACCCUCAGAGAAAGCCCCGGCUAACUACGUGCCAGCAGCCGCGGUAAUACGUAGGGGGCAAGCGUUGUCCGGAUUUACUGGGUGUAAAGGGCGCGCAGGCGGGAUAAAAAGUCAGUGGUGAAAUCCUACAGCUUAACUGUAGAACUGCCUUUGAUACUUUUAUUCUUGAGUUCGGGAGAGAGAGACGGAAUUCCAGGUGUAAUGGUGAAAUACGUAGAUAUCUGGAAGAACACCAGUUGCGAAGGCGGUCUCUUGGUCCGACACUGACGCUGAGGCGCGAAAGCGUGGGGAGCAAACA